rnacentral:rRNA from 1 species
AACGAACGCUGGCGGCAGGCCUAACACAUGCAAGUCGAACGCCCGUAGCAAUACGGGAGUGGCAGACGGGUGAGUAACGCGUGGGAACGUGCCCUUCGGUUCGGAAUAACUCAGGGAAACUUGAGCUAAUACCGGAUACGUCCGUAAGGAGAAAGAUUUAUCGCCGAAGGAUCGGCCCGCGUCGGAUUAGCUAAUUGGUGAGGUAACGGCCCACCAAGGCGACGAUCCGUAGCUGGUCUGAGAGGAUGAUCAGCCACACUGGGACUGAGACACGGCCCAGACUCCUACGGGAGGCAGCAGUGGGAAUAUUGGACAAUGGGCGAAAGCCUGAUCCAGCCAUGCCGCGUGAGUGAAGAAGGCCUUAGGGUUGUAAAGCUCUUUCAGCGGGGAAGAUAAUGACGGUA